rnacentral:rRNA from 1 species
UGGGGAAUUUUGGACAAUGGGGGAAACCCUGAUCCAGCCAUCCCGCGUGUGCGAUGAAGGCCUUCGGGUUGUAAAGCACUUUUGGCAGGGAAGAAACGUCAUGGGUUAAUACCCCGUGAAACUGACGGUACCUGCAGAAUAAGCACCGGCUAACUACGUGCCAGCAGCCGCGGUAAUACGUAGGGUGCAAGCGUUAAUCGGAAUUACUGGGCGUAAAGCGUGCGCAGGCGGUUCGGAAAGAAAGAUGUGAAAUCCCAGAGCUCAACUUUGGAACUGCAUUUUUAACUACCGGGCUAGAGUGUGUCAGAGGGAGGUGGAAUUCCGCGUGUAGCAGUGAAAUGCGUAGAUAUGCGGAGGAACACCGAUGGCGAAGGCAGCCUCCUGGGAUAACACUGACGCUCAUGCACGAAAGCGUGGGGAGCAAACAGG